AUAUUUUCGUUGACGAGAAGAGUAGGCUUUAUUCCUGAGUCUGUAGAGAGUCGCUGGCCGGUGAAAAGCGAUGACCGUAUAGAGCUGAAGAUCAUCUCCGAGAAGUUCUGCUGAAAUGUUGAAGAGUAGGGAGAACCGGUUGACGGCCGUUAUCCGUUAUGUGAACCAAGUGCCGUGCAUCAUUGCACGGAAUAUGGGUGGUACCGCGGAUCCAAUCCGUCCCUGUU
rnacentral:ncRNA from 1 species